AUGCGGGACUCAUCAGAGGCCUCGCAAUUGGAAUGAGCGCACUUUAAAUCGUUCGACGAGGAUCUAUUGGAGGGCAAGUCUGGUGCCAGCAGCCGCGGUAAUUCCAGCUCCAAUAGCGUAUAUUAAAGUUGUUGCAGUUAAAAAGCUCGUAGUUGGAUCUGGGGUUCGGGUCGGCGGUUUGCCGCUUCGGCGGCUACUGCCGUGCUCGACUCUUACUAGCCGGUGCGUCUUGCGGUGCUCUUCAUCGAGUGCCGUAGGAGCCUGGCAUGUUUACUUUGAAAAAAUUAGAGUGCUCAAAGCAGGCGAUCCCGCCUGAAUAGUGUUGCAUGGAAUAAUGGAAUAGGACCUCGGUUCUAUUUUGUUGGUUUUCGGAACUUGAGGUAAUGAUUAAGAGGGACGGUCGGGGGCAUUCGUAUUUCGGUGUUAGAGGUGAAAUUCUUGGAUCGCUGAAAGACGGACAAAUGCGAAAGCAUCUGCCAAGAACGUCUCCAUUAAUCAAGAACGAAAGUCAGAGGUUCGAAGACGAUCAGACACCGUCCUAGUUCUGACCAUAAACGAUGCCAACUAGCGAUCCGCAGUGGUUGCUAUAAACGGACUCUGCGAGCAGCUUCCGGGAAACCAAAGUGUUUGGGUUCCGGGGGAAGUAUGGUUGCAAAGCUGAAACUUAAAGGAAUUGACGGAAGGGCACCACCAGGUGUGGAGCCUGCGGCUUAAUUUGACUCAACACGGGGAAACUCACCCGGUCCGGACACUGUAAGGAUUGACAGAUCGAGAGCUCUUUCUUGAUUCGGUGGAUGGUGGUGCAUGGCCGUUCUUAGUUGGUGGAGUGAUUUGUCUGGUUAAUUCCGAUAACGAACGAGACUCUAGCCUGCUAACUAGUUGCGCCGUGUUCAUACGCGGCUAUAGACUUCUUAGAGGGACAGGUGGCGUUUAGCCACACGAAAUUGAGCAAUAACAGGUCUGUGAUGCCCUUAGAUGUCCGGGGCCGCACGCGCGCUACACUGAAGGAGUCAGCGUGUGCUAUCCGGGCUCGGGAGAGUUCGGUAACCCGUUGAAACUCCUUCGUGCUUGGGAUUGUGGCUUGUAAUUAUCGCGCAUGAACGAGGAAUUCCCAGUAAGUGCAAGUCAUCAGCUUGCGCUGACUACGUCCCUGCCCUUUGUACACACCGCCCGUCGCUACUACCGAUUGAAUGGUUUGGCAA
rnacentral:rRNA from 1 species